UUACAGUGUAGGCCAAAUAAUUCCAUUAAUGACAUCAUUGUUCGUGUAGGCUUGUGUUCACACUUUAUUGAUGCUUUUCAAACCGACUAAAUAAGAAACAUAAGGAUAGGAUCUAUAUUGUUCUGCGCCAAGUUCAUUUCGAUAGUGCUGUUGUAAGUGUUGUAAGUCUAUUCUGGUUAUUCGGACUGUAAGCCUAUUAUAGUAAGGAGAAUGUGCCUAACGGUUCGGGUACUUUUUAACUGCAUGUUCCUUUGUGUAGGCGAUUUUUACUUGAUGCUGUGGAAGAAAUUAACUUCAUUCCUGGAUUUAUUCAGUUGUUUAAGUCUCGAUAUUUUUAACCUAACUGAUGACUAGCAUAUGCAACAAGAUGUGCAUUCAAAUUUGCAAUCAGAAUGACUCCAUCUUGCCGAUUCACCAUCGACCAUGGCCGAAAUACUUCGACAAUUUCAGGACUGUAAUGUUAAAGUGAUGACGCCUCGCUGCAAACGUAUUUAUUGGAAACCAAAAAACCCGGAUCCUCGUUUGUUGCCGUAGAUAAAUGAACACAUACAUUUUUUGUGAUUGGUGUGAACUCAGGCGCCCUCAACUUACUAGUGGAAGAUGGAUUUUUAUAUGACUAAUUUGUAUAUUAAAAUGUAUAGGCCUACCAGUAUUUAUUUAGCCUGGCAAUGUAAUUUGGUAUUAUGACCACAGUAUGUCCUAACCUCAACUUCCAUAGACCAACAUUUUUUUUCAAAUGGUAGAUUCAGUACUAACACAGGAUUAUAUUCUUUGUCCGAAUAAAGUUGAUAUGUAGAGAGGCAUACUCACACACUGAUUAUGAAGGUGGAAGGAGUCACCGAAAGUAACACUAAAUAAAUCUCCGAGUCGAAUAUCGAU